AAUCAACGCUGGCGGCGUGCCUCAGACAUGCAAGUCGAACGAUUAAGACUUCCUUCGGGACGGGUGAGUAACACGUGGGAACGUGCCUUUAGGUUCGGAAUAACUCAGGGAAACUUGUGCUAAUACCGAAUGUGCCCUUCGGGGGAAAGAUUUAUCGCCUUUAGAGCGGCCCGCGUCUGAUUAGCUAGUUGGUGAGGUAAAGGCUCACCAAGGCGACGAUCAGUAGCUGGUCUGAGAGGAUGAUCAGCCACAUUGGGACUGAGACACGGCCCAAACUCCUACGGGAGGCAGCAGUGGGGAAUCUUGCGCAAUGGGCGAAAGCCUGACGCAGCCAUGCCGCGUGAAUGAUGAAGGCCUUAGGAUUGUAAAAUUCUUUCACCGGGGACGAUAAUGACGGUACCCGGAGAAGAAGCCCCGGCUAACUUCGUGCCAGCAGCCGCAGUAACAC
rnacentral:rRNA from 1 species